UUCAUUCUUUCAGUGUUGAAACAUUCUCUACUGAACCAAGCUCCAAAACAAGUUCACUGGGGUUUGUUUCACUAUUGCAAGAAUUGCUAAGUAUGAAGC
rnacentral:pre_miRNA from 14 species